GAUUGGGUCCGUAAGUUUGACAAAUUUGGAAUAAGAAGACAACAACUUCUUCGGUUGCUGUGCACCCUUAAAAUCAUACUAGUGGGAACAAGUCAAACAAACAUGUUUUUCCCUGGACGGAAUCCGGCCGCGGUGGACAAAUUGAUCUCUCCGGAGGAACCACCAGGGAACUUUAAUCGGCGUGGAUUCGGCCAUCAUCAGGCAUAAGCAGCUGUCAGUCAAUUAGGUGAUGCGGUGGAGAAAGAGGCAAAGACAAAAAUAAAACAUGCCAGAGCUGCUUCUAUGGAUCAAAACAGGCUUUCAAGAACACACCGAAGACAAAAAUACAUCAAUUAUCGAUAUUUAUAAAGAAAAAUAAAGUUAUUUGCAAUAAAGUUGA